CCAUCAGUGAGGCGGGUGUCCUGGGCGCCACGAGCCAGCACACUGAGCAGCCCAUGCUGGAUGAAGUACAUCUUCCUGCCCACGGAGCCCUCACGCACCACGAGGUCCCCCGGCUGGAAGACCUCAAAUCGCAGUUUGAUCUCACUCCUAUUGGGGCACCUGCUGACCAACAGCCCCACCCUGACAGCGCCCUAAGAAGCCCAAGUUUGUAAAGAGCCCCUGAGGGCCCAGCCCAGCCCCACCUCCCGGAGUGGCUCGCUCAACUCGCCCAGGAUGCUCUCCUCAUCAAACAUCUUGCCCUGGUAGCGGUGCUCGUAGUAUUCAUGGAUGCGCUGGCGUGUGUCAGCUGGCAGCUUGUGGAAGGACAUUCCCUGCUGACCUUCUCCUGGUACUGACGCCGGGAAGAAUCCAGAGACUGAAUGAGGGCGGUGGCGUGACCGAUGAACAUGGCGUAGCAUGUGGCACCCACGAUCAUGCUGAGCAUGCCCCUCUGCCCUCUUCUACUUCCGACCAUCCUCCUAGCAGACUGGAAGAAGACCCCUAGAAGGCCCAGGAAGGCCCAGCUGUGGGGGCUUCUCACCACCAUGUGGUUGAUGGAGACCCAGCAGUCAGGAGGGAAGUCCUGCAGCAUGGGGACCAGGAACUGCAGACAGCCAUCCCAGUGACAC